UACGUAUGGUGCAAGCGUUGUCCGGAAUUAUUGGGCGUAAAGAGCUCGUAGGCGGUCUGUCGCGUCUGCUGUGAAAACUCAGGGCUUAACCCUGAGCUUGCAGUGGGUACGGGCAGACUAGAGUGCGGUAGGGGAGACUGGAAUUCCUGGUGUAGCGGUGAAAUGCGCAGAUAUCAGGAGGAACACCGGUGGCGAAGGCGGGUCUCUGGGCCGUAACUGACGCUGAGGAGCGAAAGCAUGGGGAGCGAACAGG
rnacentral:rRNA from 1 species